ensembl:lncRNA
GAGAGAGAGAGGCAGGAGGCUGAAAGGAGGAAUAGGGUCCCUAACAAACCUUACUUCACACCUUCCCCAACAGAGCCCCAGGUACUUGGAAUGUCAAGUAUUUUUUAAGUCACAAAAGAAAGAUUAUAUUCUAAUUAAUAUAAUUUCAUUGUUGUUUUUUAAAAAACAUUAAUUCUUGGGAAAUGGGCAAGUCAUGAAUAAUCAUUUACAUAAUUAACAUGUAAACAUGACUUCUCUAUUCACUAAAGGAUUGGCCUUAUAGCAACCCUCCCAGCUGGGCCCCAUUUCCCAGCCACAUUAGAAAUCUAAGGGUUUACUAGAAACUCCUUUUUUGCACUUUUGGAAAUUACAUAUAUACAUACAUUGUCCAUAUCAUGGCAAUGAUGUUUUAUACCAUAAGUGAGGACCAUAAUCCCCAUCUCACAUGACUAUUAUGAGGGAUAAAUAAUGUAAUGUGCUUGGAACAUAUUAAGGAUUCCAUUAAUGAUUGGUGAGAUCAUUAAUAAGAAUCUCAAAGAGAAACCUGUCUCCUCUUCUUCAAAAGGAUUCUGUAGGACUGACAUAUUAGCUUUCUGGAAGGCCAUGGUCAAAACAGUUUAGCAAAUUUACUUUUGAAUAUGCUGAUGUCCAAUCACCAAAUUCUGGGGUCCGAAGUGAAUAUCAGGUAAUUUAUAUUUUUACAUGCAAGUGAAGUGUCACUGUAAUUUGGAGGAGGGGGACUGACUAAGAAGAGAAAAAGCAACCAAAUGGAUGCAAAACAAACAAAAAAUAUUUUAUUAUCACCUAAAACUCAUUCCCUAGACAACAGAUAAUGCACACAUCGGACGACAUUAGCAGACAUAGUGAAGAUGCGCUUGAACAGCUGUCAACAUUGAUGAAUGUGGAGAUGUCAUAAAAGUGAAAAUUUUCAGGUUAUUGGAUUUCCUGUAUAAUAUUGGCAAAAAGGAACUGUCAACACAAAAACAUUUAGUUUAAUUUUUUUAAAUGUCACUUAUUGUAUUUACUAGCCUUGACAGUGACUAAAGAAUGAGGUACAGAAAACUUUCCAGAAGUCUGAGUAUGGAGCAGAAGUCCAAGGCGCUUUGGAGCCCCACUAUUGCGUUAUGGAGUAGGAUUAACUCAGCCGUGAAGUUCCCCAUACUCCAGGUUUACUGCAUAGAAAAGCGCUAGUUACCUACCUCACUGAGGUGUUGUGGGGACUCAUGCUUAUAAAGUGCUUCAGGCGCCUUUGAAGAAAGGCAACAUAGAAGUAUAAAAUAAUCUUACAUAUUUCAAAAGAAAUGAAAAGAUAAUUUUGGCACAAUGGGAAGAGUGCCUCCAAUUUAAAGAACCACACUUGGCUAUUUUUAAAAACCCCUUACCUCAAUGGUUUAUUGGGUUUUUGUUUUCUAUUUAAGAGAAUAAAUGUUUCUCUAUUGCCAGUCUUAGAACAGCCAUUCUCAACCCAGGCUGUACUAUCAGAAUCACUUGAGGAGUUCGUUAAAAAUAUGGACGCCUAGCCCACAGCCUAGACCUACAGAAUUAAAAUCUCUAAGAGUGCUACUCAGGCAACUAUAUUUUUUAAAGGAUCUAGAGGAUUCUGAUGCACAGCAAAGUUUUAAAAACAUUUCUUUAGAAAAAUGUCAAUUUAGGGGCUGGCCCCGUGGCCGAGUGGUUAAGUUCGCGCGCUCCGCUGCAGGCGGCCCAGUGUUUCGUUAGUU